rnacentral:lncRNA from 1 species
GGGUGAGUUUAUUGUAUUAUGUUGAUGCAUGCAUAUCCCGGUGUUCAAUUAAGAAUGUCAACCCAACUCUCUACGCUAAUUGUAUUUUACUGUUUAGAGAGCUGUUUUAUGUGAUGUUCAAGCAUCUGAUGAUAUAGACUUGUGCAGGCCCAGAAUGAGUACAAGGCUGUUGUGGGAGAAGUAAACUAUGGGUCGGAUGACAACCAGAAUUGCCAAUUGACCAAACUGCGAAUUGUCAAAAUAACCGGCAUCUUUGGUGUCAAAGCUGAACUAGAUUUCAUCAGGUUUUUGCUUUCAAGUUCACCUGUGCUUGAGAAGAUGACUGUGAAGCCUGCUGCUGCUAAUAAUUUUGAAGUAAAAAUGUUGCUCCAAAAGUUGCUCCAGUUUAAGCGUGUCUCGGCGAAUGCAGAGAUAUUCUACUUAGACCCUUGAUUCAUCAAUGAAACAUGUUUGGCAGAUACGAUACGAGGACUUGCCGGCAGAAACUGAAUGCGGGUUUUGAUAGUUUGGUACAAUUAUCUGCUAUGUAUGUGUCUUAUGUUUUGUCAAACGACGCCAAUAGAUAUCUCUUUUAUUCUUUUCCUAAUCUCAUGUUCAACUUGGACUAUGAUAUUAAAUUUUGACCCUAAGAUGUAUGAUGAAAUGUCUCGAGUACAAGAGAAGACUAAUUUGGAAGUACUUUUGGAAUGAAUUAAAAGCGCUUACAGAUGGCAAGAAGUGUUUUUGGCAACAUUUUGUUAAAAAAGGUUGAAAGUUAUUAAUGGAGAAGGGCCGCAUACGGUGGUUGUACGCAAGAACCUCUCCUGGAGUUGCUAAAUGAACAAUUCGCGGUUGUACAACGGGACUAAACUGAUCUCAUUUCUAACAUAUGGAGUUUUACAUAUUACAAGUCAUCAAAAUUUAUCGCUCAGUUGCUAGACCAAUAAAUUUCUUUAGAAUUUGUUGUUGAAUUAACUUCCGUAAGGUAGUCCAAGUCUUCCAAGGCUUUGUCAAGGGACUCCGCCAUAUCUGCCUCCCAUAAGCCUAACCUGCAGACUUUCUUGUAAGUUUCGUAACUUGAUGCCCUUAUGCCCUCCGAAGCGAUCUCCAUUAAAGAGUCACAAAUCUCUUCACUGCUCAUGGCAUCCAAAAAAGUUUCAGAUAAACCACGUCGCCAGAAAACAACAAUGGCACAGCUCUUGUCCAAUAACCGAACAUCAAAUUCUUCAGAGAAGACAGCAUGUAACUUGCACAACAAGCUCUUGAUCAUCCCCAACAUCGCAUUGUUAGAUACCAUAGCGUUGUCGGAAAUUUUCAGAAUGGAGCAGAGCUUUGCAAACAAAUAGCACAUCUUCACCACAUUAUGCCUUUGAAUGUUGCCUUCACUUUCUGUAGAUGACAACCCAAACAUUGUAUAUAGUAAGAGAAGAAGUUAGGUUUGCUCUGAAGUAAAAAAAUGGCAUAACGGACAGCAAUCGACACAAAAAAUCACAGGAAAACCAAGUAAAACCCACAAGAGCAACAAAUAUGUGAAUUACUGCACUCUCUUCAACUGUGCUACGCGAAAACUAAGGGUAAUAUCGAUACCUUGAGGCAAAAUUUCCAUAUCAAUGGCUGCGAAGUAAUGAUUAUUCAAGUACGAAAUAGCUGCAGGAAUAUUGGUCAUCCUUCUUAGAGGGCCAAUAUUCUUCAUCAGAUGGUUGACAUCAAGUAUGUGGGGAAAAACCGAGUGCAAGGAACCCAUGAACUCGUCUACAUUAGUCGGGAGGGGAGAGAGAAACUCUGAAUGAAUAACUGAAAUCUGCAUAACGCAAAAUUAAACAGUAAGUUGAGAAACUAGAAAAAGAACAGAAGCCAAGUCAAGGGCAUUAAAACUCAUAGAUGUUUAUUAAACAGAGAUACACCGUUAAGGGAAUUGUGGGAGACAACAGGUUUCUGUGAAGCAGAAAUCAAAUCGAUCACCUCUUGAAAUCCACGAACUCUCUUGUUUUGUUCCUCCUCAAGGUUUUGGAGCUCUCUCUGUAAGUAAAACAUUCAAGCCAAAUGUUGUGUUACAAAAAGCCCGAUAAUGCAAAAUAGAAAGACUUGAAAAUCACGUCACUACCUCAAACCAGUCCUUGUCUGCUGUAGAACUUGUCAAAACAGCACGAACAGCCUGAGUUCCUCCUCCCUUUGCUGGGAUUAUUAAAGGAACAAGUUCAUCAGAGAACUCUUUCAACAUCUGCAACCAAUGAAAAAAAAAUCAUUUGAUCAGAUAAAAUCUGAUUAAAUAUACCGGCACCAGAAAAAAGGAUUAAAAACAACAACGGGUCAACAUACAUACCUCCAGAGCAAGCUGCACUUGACGUUCACUUCAAACAUCUAGAUUCAUGCCGGGUCUGUUCCGUAAAUUUCACUUCCCAUUACAAUUUUUCUCAAGGAACUCAGCAGAGCAUCUGCAAAAUGGAAAGCCAAAACACUUUUUAACAGAAAAUAUAACAAAAUCGAAUGAAAGAUAGGGGAUGUAAGUAGAAUCUAGAACCCUUUUUCUGUCUUUACCAUCUUUCUUUGUGUUUUUACAUGCACUUUUCCAAUGAUUAACUCGCAAUUUAAUUCUUUCAACAAAAACCGUAUCAGCAACAGUAUGAGUCGAAGAAGAGUUCAUUACAUAGCUACUGGUAGUCGGAUUCCCUAUCCGAGCUUUAGCCGCAGAUUCUUGUGCUCCAGACAAGUAUGAAAUACCCGUCUCAUUACAAAACACAAAAUCUCAAUACAACAGCAAAGUUACAGACUUGUAAUGUCCCAAAUGGUACACUUUCACCAAUGCAUCGAGCCAAAGUUUUUAGUUUUCGUAAUUUCUGUUCUAGUUUUCGAAAAAAUAUUCACUUGGGUAAAAUCAUAUUCCACAAGAAAUUAGGGAGUAAAAUGAAAUAUCAAAACUUGACAGGGGAGGCUUACCAUUAUAUAUGCAGGCAUUGAAAUCAAAACCUUCUUCCGCCAUGGAAGUCAAAUGUGAUGUUUGAACUGAUCAACAAACCCAUCAUCAAUUCAUCCCUUGGGAACAAGACAAAGUUGUAUCUGCACCAAAAUCAACAAACCCAUCAUCAAAUUCCAUUCUAUAUAUGUGUAUGUAUAUGUAUGUAUAGGUAUAGUGAAAGCGUACGGACGGGUAAGGAGUAAGCUUCGAGGCUCUGAGAGUGUAAGGGCAGGCUGCGAACUGGAGGAGCUGGAAGCGCUCAGCGGCGUACUUGGCCUUGAAAUACGAAGUGUCGGCGGUGUCGAAGGGCUGAGGGUGGCGCCACGGCGCACGAUAUGACCCCGUUUUCUGCAGCGAGAAGGCCACGAAGUCGGAGCUGGACAGGUGGUCCUUGAACUCUCCAGGGACUCGGAAAAGUUGGACUUCGUCACUUCCUUCACGGCCCAUUUCUUCAAGACAUUGGUGGGGGUGGUGGUGGUGGUGGUGGUGGGGGUGGUGGUGGUGGUGGUGGUGGUGGUGGUGCUGAGGAAACGGCGUCGUAUAAACGGAGGCAGAGACGCCAUGGUUUAACUUAUCUCCAGCUUGACCUCAGCCGCUACCUGUAUAAUGCGUUUUUCAAUUUUCAGUUGCCGAACAAUAGGCUUACGACUUGUCGUUGCUUUCCUCUCCUUGUGAUUUUUUUUAUUUUAUUUUUUAUUUUACAAACGAUAUUAUUUCCAAUAAGGGGAUAGAGAGUUGACUACACGGCUACGCUUCAUAAUGGGCUAGCAAUAGUGUGGUUCAAAGUCGCAUUUGGCGAGAAUCGAACCAAAAAUCUUUCACUUACAUGUGGAUAGGAAUAUCACUAUACUGUAGUACUAAUUACUAAGUGAUCAUUUCCUUCUAAUUUUAGGUUUAGAUUGUUUCAUGUAGAUCUGUCGAUAGAUCGAAUUUUAACCUAGAUUCAAUUGAAAUCAAACGUAAUUAAUAUAGUAUGGAUUGUAGUUUUCAAUCUAAUUAUUUGAUUACAAAUGAAUUUGGAUAUGUAUAGAGGUUGACCCCACUGGAUCAUUUAUAACAUAUUAUAUUAUUUGUAUUAGGGUCUUGGAUUGAGUAAUUACUUUUCUUGUUUGUAUUUGGGCUUUGGAUUGAGAAAGUGAACCGAGACGGUCAUGUGAAUCAAGUCACAAGAAAGAACAAUGAAAUGGCAUGUUGCUGAAAAAAGUAAAGACUAUGGAGAAGAUUCAUUGUUGUCCAUGGAUAAAAUUCAACCAAAAAGAGGAAUGAAAAAAAAAUUUGAUGUCUAUAUUAGGAAUUGUUGACCCUAAAAGUGCAAAGCCUACGUGGGGCGUAAGUCGAGUAACUAUUGAACUAACUACUUCUUUCUUGUGAAUGCGAGCGUGCCACCUCACGACCAAGCUCGGUCGGGCGAGUAGAAUGGAUGUGGUGGUGGUGCUGAAUGCAGUACUGACUUAUGCAUUUGAGCAAUUACGGUCGAGGAUGGAACACCUCUAUGCCUAAGGUUCUCGAAGAAGACAAUGUUGCUUAAUUCACUACGAAGUUCAGGAUCUUCUGCAUCGGGUUUUGCUGCUUCAACUACAUUCGUAAAAAUAUUAGUGCACCAAAUCAGUAUCAAACUAUGUGGGAAAAGAUACUUAAAAAAUGCCUUUAUGGUGAAACGUGGUUCGGCUAUCUGAAUGCCGAAGUACAAAGUGACCUAAGAAUAACUAACCAUAGAACACUUCAUUUCGAUGAAAAGCUAAUGAAGUUAUGACGACCCGUCCCGAACUUUACCAAACAGAAGGGUAAUUUUGUAAUUUCACUAUGGUUGGGUUAAAUAUUUUGAAAUGCUGCUUUUGGAUCUUGUUUGGUGUGCCAUGUGGGGCCCACUUUCCUUUUUGGUCCCCUGGCCCAUUCUCCUUUCUCCUUCCUUCAUCCCGUGUGAACUCUCGGACCUCUUUCUUCUCUCUUCACUUUCUCUCGUUUUCUCCUAACCUUUCCGAGCCCUCUCUCUCCUCUACAACCUCUUCUCAUUUUCUUCCUCGAGCACAGCAACUGCAAACCUCACCAUCUAGACUGGAUGACCUCGAAACCUCAGGCUAAACAUCGUGGAACACCAACAAUGACGGAGUCACUGUUCAUCAACUUUUCCUGACGAGCUUCGACGUAGUUUGUGGUUCUUUCGAUGUUGGAAAGCUCCUAGAAACCCUUGGGAUGUGUUUUAAAGUUGGAUCGAGGCUUGUUGUAUGUUGUUUAAGCUUGUUGGACAUUGAAAUAACUCGGAGUUAGCUUUUCCUAGAUUUCGACAAGAACCCAUGACUUUCGAGGCGUUUUCCGGCCAAACCAUGACGAGUUAGCCGUUGGGCAAGGUACCAUUCUCUUCGGCUCGUCAAGAACUAUGAUUUUUGUUUUUUAAAUCACUCAAUUUCAUUAAGUAUUGAAGAAGUUAUGAACGUUUAAAGUUUACCCAGUUUCCGGCAAAUUCCCUAGUUUUCCCUCGGACCAGUCACUUUUCAGGCCAUUUUCCAGCCAUCUCUGGCAACCAUUGGGCUUCUAAAUAGGUAUAAUCUUGUUCUACACUUUCCUAUCUUCAUUUUUAUAUAUUAUGGGUCAAAUUUGGUUAAGAAAUGAUGAAGUUACGAAGCUUUGAAAUUUGCCCAAACUUCCGGCCAAAAUUCCAAUUUCCAGUGAGCUCCGGCAGCUUGACUUGGCUCGGCUCGGCUUGGCUGAGUCAGCCAUUGACUUCUCGGUCAGUGUUGACAAUUGACCUUGAUCGUUAAUCGUUGACCCGUCAACGUUGACUUUUUGGUUGACUUUUUUUUUAUUUCGGCCGGGAUCCCUCCUAGACUAAUUUUGAUGUUCUGAAUCCGUUUCUGACGCCUGUUUUCCCAAAUUCAAUCAUUUUAGUGUAGUUUUAUAAAUUGGUCCCUUUAUGUGCUUAGGUGAAAUUGUUUGUGGUGUUUCCAUCUUCUCCGGUUCGCAAGGUUCUUGGAUGACAAAGUAUCUGUGAGUGAACCCCUUCCAAAAUGCAUGAUUUUACUAUUACAAAAUGCAUACACGAAAAACAUGAUUUUAUGGAUACGUUUUAUGAAAUGUUUAUGAGAAAAUUGGAUUCAUGCUUUAUGAAAUAUCAUGCUUUAUCAGAUUUACAUUCUUUGAAUGAUUUAUGAUUAUAAAUUAUGAACAUAUUUUAUGAUAUGAUGUUUGAGCUACUGAGCUCCAAUGAGAUAUACUUUGGAAAGAUUAUGUUCAUUUUUUUAUAUGCUUAUCUAGUGUUUUCAUACGGUCUGCCUACGGGCGAAUGAUACUGCCUACGGGCAAAUGAUACUGCCUACGAGCGAAUGAUAUCUAUAUAUGGCUUCGGUCGGGUGAUGUAGAGGCCUACAGGCGAAUGAUAUCUAUAUAUGACUUCGAUUGGGUGAUGUAGGGGCCUAUGGGUGAAUAAAGAGUUAUAUAUGUCUUCGGGCGAAUGAAGAUUUAUAUAUGGCUUCGGUCUAAUGAUGUAAGGGCCUACGGGCAAAUAAAGGCCUUCAGGUGAUUUUGAUACCACUACUAUGCACACUGUAUAUGAUAUAUGUUUUAUGAAGUUUUUAUGGCAUGCUAGGGCUUUCGAAAAACCUAUCACAUAUUAUGCUAUUGAGUUUUCAUAUACUUUGGGGGUUAGUACGUUAAUGAAUAACUGUUUUAUUAUUACUUAUAUAUAAACUUGGUCCACUCAUGUUUUGUUUCGCGCCCCUUCAGGACUUAUAAUUGAGGCGUACAAUCAUGGCAUCAAGGCACUCCCACAUCGGCAUUUUCUAGUCCUCUCGAUGUAGGACUCAUCCCUUUGUUCGUUCAAUUUUAUAUUAUUCCUUUUAAUGUUCUUGAUUAGUUGUAUGCUCUAAACACGUUCCACAAUUGCAUAUUCAUUAUAGUUUAAUUUACGAGUUUAAUUUAUGUUCGUUCUUUCUUCAUAGUUCUCAUGCAUGUUAGUAUGGCUUCGUCACCUUCUGGUGUCGGCCAGCACGUGCCUACCCUGGUGUUUGAAGUAUAUCAGGGUUGGGCUUGUCAAUUUGGUAUCAGAGCGUGGUUUGUUCAGAGCAUACUUAGGAUCUUCUGUUACUGUAGUAGUGUGUCGGUCUUGACAUCAUUUGGAUGUCACGACUUCUGGUUUUGGUGCCAUUCAGCGCAGUUGUGCAAACCUUUUUCGUGUUGGGAUUGUGCCUCAUCGGUGACGAAAUGGAUUGUUGGACGAUUUUCAACAUCGAACCGAUAUUCUACAACAUGCGUUCCCUAGGAAUUGCGGCAAAGUCAGUUUUACAUUGAAGUGACGUGAAUUAGAAAUCUCAAUAAGAGGAAGUCCGGUUAAGACUAGCUGAAAAUCUGAAAUGGCGAUGCCACUCUGCAACAUGUGUUCCUCAAGAAUUGCGGGCAGAGUCGGAUUUACAUAUGAGUGUUGGGAAACGGAAAAAUCUUAGUGGUAUAAGUUGGAUGAGACCAACUGGAGUGUUCUGAAACGGUGAUGUUACUCUACGACAUGCGUUCCCUAGGAAUGGUGGGCAAAGUCAUAUCUUUAUGGAAAUUGCUCGAAACAUCGAAGUUCGUGUUGGAGAAAGCGGGUAAGCGCUAGUCGUGUGCAAAGUUUAGCAAGUGUUAGUUUGGUGGGAUCAAAUCUUUGUUCUUGGACUCUUUCCCACUAAGGAAAUUAGUGUGGACCCUCAAAACAAUUCUCAGCUAUUGUUCUAUCGAUAAUCUUCUUGCUUACUCUAACAACGAGGUCAAGUUCAAUAAACACCGAUAGUUAGCCUUACACCAUAUUCUUCGAGCGUUGUUUUUGUUUAGAUUAGAUACUUUUCUUGAGAGACUCUUUUAUAGCAGACAUUAUUCUUAUCAAUUUCCAAAAAGGGUUGCGACUGUUGGAAAUUGAAAAUCCUCACAAAGUGUGUGAAAUGCGAAUUACCCUUGAUCUUAUCACAUUCUAUCAGCAGUUCUUAACGAUUCCUUGAGCUUGGCCCUAUUUCCUUUUUUGCUAAGAAACCAGUCAAUUUUGUUGUGAUGCUGACGAUGAAUGAAGUUUCUGACAACAGGGUAUUGUCUCAUCUGAUCGUAGUUCUUACACUUUUUGAAUUCUGCGAUGGUAUAUUAUUAAUGUUUGGCUGCAUGCUGAUGCAACAUGAUUAAGUUACGUUUGUGCCUCUUGACAGUUGGAACCGUAUGAAGUGAACCAUCUUAUCUUUGACCUUGAGCCAAUGGUUACAAUCUAACUUGAAAACCUAAUGAAACCUUUUCUUUGUGGAAAUCCUUGUGGGACGAAGGUUGGGAAAGAAACUUUUUGGUGUUUUGAACAUCAUCUUACUCAUGCUCCCGUCCCUACUUUUCUUGACGUUGUUGGUGAGUUUUAAGUCUCUUAUUUUGCAUCGUUUCUGACCAAAUGAGUUAUAGUGUGUUCUGACAUAGAAAUAAUUGAGGUUGAGACAGAAGAAGUGGAUGGAACUCAUCGGUGAUUUUGAUUGCACUUUUGAGUACCAUCAUGGUCAAGCAAUUGUCGUAGCUGAAGCUCUUAAUCAGAAACCCCAUAGACAGCUUACCUUAAUCUAAGUUAUCCAUGUCUCACUAUCGUUUUCUCUUCGUGGAAUUGGAACUCUGUUGAUACGAAACAAGUUGCUUUUUCCUAAUGGCGAUGAAGUUGGAAAAAGGAAAAUUUUUGGUGAAGCUCAUGUUUCAGCGUAUGCCAUGUAUACUGGCAGUAUUAAAUUGUACCACUGUUUUCGUCCACUAUAUCACUGGUAUUGUAUGAAUGGGAUAUCGCCGAAUAUGUGAGUAAAUGUUUGUUUUACUGGUAAGUGGAAGCGGUAAGAUGGAAGCCAUCGGCUUAUCUCAAUUUCUUUCUAUUCCUGUUUGGAGGUGGGAAGAAAUUUCCCAGGGUCGUUCUUUUUAGGUUGUCAGGGACCCAUUGAGGAUACUAAUAGGAAUAGGUGAAUGUCACCAUAAUUUUCCUAUACAAACCACCUUGUACACAUGGAGACUAUGAUGACGUUUCGGUAUUGUUACCAACUCAAUCAACAUACUAUCUACCAAUUUUUUAGGACUAUACUUUUGACCACUUGGCAUAAUUCUUCAUUCUAGACUUUGUCUGACUGACGUCGCGAUAAACAUCGAUUUUGACCGAAAUCCCAGAUUCACCUCCUGGUAUUAGAAAACAUUCUAGUCAACGUUGGGUUCACACUUACCCUACGACACUUUGUAUAUUUUCCUUCGUAUCAUUUCUAAAGCAAUGAGACUAUUCAGGAAGACCACUCAGAUCUGAAAGUUUUAGUCGAAACCAUCAGUCAUUCAAUCACCCUUUAACAUACUACCGAGCGAAUCAUUACCAUUAGUGAUUGAAUAUCUCUAAGGUUAUCGUUGUAACAAGUUGUUGUGAAUUUUGGAGUGGGAAAAAGUCCGAGUAGAACACCAACAAUGACAGAGUCACUAUUCAUCAACAUAUCUUGACGAGCUCCGACGUAGUUCAUGGUUCUUUCGACGUUGGUAAGCUCCUAUAAACCCUUGAGAUGUGUUUUAAAGUUAGAUCGAGGCUUGUUGUAUGUUGUUUAAGCUUGUUGGACGUUGAAAUAACUCGGAGUAAGCUUUUCCCAGAUUCCGACAAGAACUCGUGACUUUCGAGGCGUUUUCAGGCCAAAACCACAAUAAGUUAGCCAUCGUGCAAGGUACCAUUCUCUUUGUCUCAUCGAGAACUAUGAUUUUUGUUUUUGGAAUCACUCAAUCUCAUUGAGUAUUGAAAAAGUUAUGAACAUUUAAAGUUUACCCAGUUUCCGGCGAGUUCCCCAGUUUUCCCACAGACCAAUCACCUUUUCAGGCCAUUUUCUGGCCAUCUUUAGCAACCAUUGGGCUUCCAAAUAGUUAUAAUCUUGUUCUACACUUUCCUAUCUUCAUUUUUAUAUAUUAUAGGUCGAAUUUGGUUAAGAAACGAUGAAGUUACGAAGCUUUGAAAUUUACCCAAACUUCCAGCCAAAAUUUCAGUUUCCGGUGAGCUUCGACGGCUUAACUUGACUUGGCUCGACUUUGCUAAGUCAGCCGUUGACUUCUCUAUCAGCGUUGACCAUUGACCAGUCAACGUUGACUUUUGGGUUAACUUUUUCAGAUUUCGAUCGGGACCUCUCCUAAACUAAUUUAGACGUCCUAAAUCCGUUUCAUACGUCCGUUUUCCCAAAUUCAAUCGUUUUAGUAUAGUUUUAUAAAUUGGUCUCUUUAUGUGCUUAGGUGCAAUUGUUUGUGGCGUUUCCGUCUUCUCUAGUUCGCACAGCUCUUCGACGGCGAAGUAUCUGUGAAUAGACCCCUUCCAAAAUGCAUGAUUUUUCUAUUACAAAAUUCAUACAUGAAAAGCAUGAUUUUAUGGAUACGUUUUAUGAAACAUUUAUGAGAAAAUUGGAUUCAUGCUUUAUCAGAUUUACAUUCUUUGAAUGAUUUAUGAUUAUAUAUUAUGAACAUGUUUUAUGAUAUGAUGUUUGAGCUACUGAGCUCUUAUAAGAUAUACUUUGGAAAGCUUAUGUUCAUGUUUUUAUAUGCUUAUCUAUUGGUUAUUCAUACGAUCUGCCUACUGGCGAAUGGUACUACUUAUGGGCAAAUGAUACUGCCUACGAGCGAAUGAUAUCUAUAUAUGGCUUCGAUUGGGUGAUGUAGGGGCCUACGGGUGAAUGAAGAGUUCUAUAUGUCUUCGAGCGAAUGAAGAUUUAUAUAUGACUUCGGUCGGGUGAUGUAGGGGCCUACCGGCGAAUGAAGGCCUUCGGGCGAUUUUGAUAGCACUACUAAGCACACUAUAUAUGAUAUAUGUUUUAUGAAGUUUUUAUGGCAUGCUAGAGUUUUCAGAAAACCUAUUACAUAUUAUGUUAUUGAGUUUUCAUAUACUUUAGGGAUUAGUACGUUAAUGAAUAACUGUUUUAGUAUUACUUAUAUAUAAACUUGGUCCACUCAUGUUUUGUUUUGCACCCCCUCAGGACUUAGAAUCAAGGUGUACAAUCUCGGCAUCAAGGCACUCCCGCAUCGGCAUCUUCGAGUCCUCUCGAUGUAGGACUCAUCCCUUUGUUCGUUCAAUUUUAUAUUAUUCCUUUUAGUGUUCUUGAUUAGUUGUAUGCUCUAAACACAUUCCACAAUUGCAUAUUCAUUAUAGUUAAAUUUACGAGUUUAAUUUAUGUUUGUUCUUUCUUCAUAGUUCUCAUGCAUGUUAGUAUGGCUUCGUCACCUUCGGGUGUCGGUCAACACGUGCCUACCCUGGUGGUUGGAGGAUAUCAAGGUCAGGCAUGUCAGAAUUGACCUCUUUGGGCUAAAGAAUUGAGAAUUCUUCGUUGAAAGAGACUUGUAUAGAUAAUCAACCAACCAGAAGCAGUCCUAUUUACUUGUCCAAACUAAAGAUGUUACUAAAUCGCUUGAUUCUACGACUCUAGUGUUGUAUACUUAUCUAACAUGAAGAUGUCACCUUUAUUUUAAGCCCAAAUAGAAAUAAAAUUACAUGUUGACCUCAAACAAUUGCCUUGUGCCGCACGUGACCGAGAUGAAUGAAAUUUGAAUGAAAAAUUUUAAAAAUUAAAUGCCAGUAUAGAAAUUGACCAAUUAUAAAAGUUAGGUAAUUAGCUAAAAUUAAAUUCAAAAGGGAAAUUGAUCCAAUUAUGAAAAUUCAAAAUAAUUGGCUAAAAAUAAAGUUCAUGGGAAAACUGACAGCUUCUUACAAUUUUGUGGGGGCACAAAUACCUCUUGGUUUUUCAAUCUUCAAAUGCCAAAUUACGCUUACUAACUUGUCGUUGUUUUUCCUACUUAAGCCCAAACACAACAAACAUUUGGGGCCAAGAAAACGAGCGGUGGCCCAGUAUUAUCAGGUAAUAUAUGAACCAGUCACGUGACACGUGGUCGUUGCAGAUCGCGAGCCAUCGUCCCCCAAUUGCAAUUGAUUAGGGCAUUUUGGAGUGGAAGCUUUAUAUAUGUGAUACUAUCAAAUCCACAGCGAGCCGAGCGACUGCGUCUCCAGCUAUAAAUCCGGCAGACCUUCUAUCGUCGCUCAAAACACUCAUCGACCUCCUCCGUCACCUCAUCCGUCAAAACGUCCGUUAAACCCUCGUCGGCUUCAUCUGCUCUCAUCGAGGUUUGAGAUUUUUCUCCACAGCCGCCGUUUAUUUUAUUUGUUUGCCGAAUCGUUUUUUUUUUUUAGCUCGUUUAAAGCAGCAAUCUUUUGCUGCAAUCGAACAUGAAAUGGAAAUGUUUCUGGUUUUUAUUUAUUACUGGAAUAUCUCAGAUGGAAAGAGAACCGUCCAAGUCCCGUUCGAAGGUGUCAAUGGAGUUGGACAGAAUUAGCAACUUACCAAGUGACGUUAUAAACAGAAUUUUGUCACAUUUGCCGAUUAGGGAAGCAGUUAGAACAAGUGUUUUAUCAAGCAAGUGGAGGAACAAAUCGGCUAUGCUUUCUCAUCUUUUGUUUGAUGAUCGGUGCACCUCGGAUCAAAACCCUACAACCUUUACAGGCAUUGUUGAUCAUGUACUCUUGGGUCACAUUAGCCCCAUAUACAGGUUCAGGAUCAUUCAUUCCCGACCUCAAGUCUGUAGAGAUAUUGAUCGAUGGAUUCUUCAUCUGUCAAGAAACUCUAUCAAAGAGUUGUUGCUUAAUAUCAAAUGUAGUGGGCAUCGCCACAAGAUGCCUUCAUGUUUGUUUUCUUGUCAAGAUCUCAUUUAUUUAGUGUUGUAUGAUUGUUUGCUACAACCUCCAUCCAAGUUCCAAGGAUUCAGGAGUUUGAAGACUUGUCGUCUUUUUAAUGUUACCCUGGACCAAGAUGUGCUUGAGAAUCUGAUUGUCUGCUGUCCUCUCCUUGAGAGAUUAACAUUGUGGCACUGUGAUGCAUUAACCCGGUUCAAGAUUGAUGCACCGAAUCUCAAAUUCCUUCAUUUUAAAGGCGUGCUUGAGGAUGUUAGUCUUGUGAAUACCUUAAAACUGGCCGAAGUUCACAUUAGUUUGACUGCUGAUGUUGCAAAUGACCAAAGACGGACUGCUGGAAGUUGUAGCAAUUUGCUCAAUUUUUUUGUUCAUCUGCCUCAUAUUCGAUGUCUUCGUGUCAAAUCUAACUUUUUGAAGGUAAUGGUUUUUGUGGCUUCAUUCUUUCAGUCAAUAAUCAGAUUUUGUGGCAAUCAGAAGUUGACUGUAUUUUCAAUCUUCUGUUUUCUGAACCUUUCUGUUCCAGUAUUUGGCUGUCGGAGUCUUGCCAGGAAAGCUACCUCAACCGUGUCUAUAUCUGAAUUUUUUUUCUAUACAUUUAAGCUUCAACGAUCCGAAGGAGAUUUUAACUGUUUUAUGUCUUCUGAGAAGCUUCCCUGCUCUACAGGAACUUGAAAUUUCAGUGAGUUUGUUGUAUUAUGUUGAUGCAUGCAUAUCCUGGUGUUCAAUUAAGAAUGUCAACCCAACUCUCUACACUAAUUGUAUUUUACUGUUUAGAGAGCUAUUUUAUGUGAUGUUCAAGCAUCUGAUGAUAUAGACUUAUGCAGGCCUUGAAUGAGUAUGAGGGUGCUGAGGGAGAAGUGAACUACGGGUUAGACAACAACCAGAAUUGCCAAUUGACCAAACUGCGAAUUGUCAAAAUAACCGGCAUCUAUGGUGACAAAGCUGAACUAGAUUUCAUCAGGUUUUUGCUUUCAAGUUCACCUGUGCUCGAGAAGAUGACUGUGAAGCCUGCUACUGCUAGAGAUUUUCAACUAGUAAAAAUGUUGCUCCAGUUUAAGCGUGUCUCGGAGAAUGCAGAGAUAUUCUACUUAGACCCUUGAUUCCUCAAUGAAACAUGUUUGGCAG